GGUGUAUAACAGUGUUGUAGUGGUGUAUAACAGUGUUGUAGUGGUGUAUAACAGUUGUAGUGGUGUAUAACAGUGUUGUAUCUGCCAGUCCAUUUUCUUUAAAGUCUUCUCCCUCCUCGACACUGUAGCGGUGAUAACUGUUAUCGUCCUGCCUGUGAGUUAUCAGCGGAACUUCCAACUUCAGCGUGACGUAACACCCUCCCGUGGGGGGCUAUCUAGCCAGUCACACUCACAUAGUCCCCUAUGUUCGGUGGUCAUCAGUCCCCAGCACACAACCAACGUUCGGUCACCAGUCUUCGAUUUCUGGCAUCAGCAUCAUAACCUUCAAGUUAUCUGGGAAAACAUACCACUAACAACUACACAGAAAUUCCCUUAUCAAGAGUAAGUGUGACGCAGGCAGCAACAGGAAGACCUGCAAGCAACAACAGCAACAGGAAGACCUGCAAGCAACAACAGCAACAGGAAGACCUGCAAGCAACAGCAGCAACAGGAAGACCUGCAAGCAACAGCAGCAACAGGAAGACCUGCAAGCAACAGCAGCAACA